GCAAGUCGAACGAGAACGGGAUUGCUUGCAAUCCUUAGUAGAGUGGCGCACGGGUGAGUAACACGUAGAUAAUCUACCUUCAAGACUGGAAUAACCGUUCGAAAGGGCAGCUAAUACCGGAUGAAGUUGAUUCACACAGGUGAGUUAAUGAAAGAUUGCCUCUUCUUGAAAGCAAUUGUUUGGAGAUGAGUCUGCGGACCAUUAGUUUGUUGGUGGGGUAACGGCCUACCAAGACUGCGAUGAUUAGCCGGCCUGAGAGGGUGAAC
rnacentral:rRNA from 1 species